AGUCUCAGGCCCUGAAUCUGGCAACCCUACAGCUCACAGAUGGAAUGCUCCUCUCUACAAAAACAUUCUCUGUCCACAGAAAACAAGAGGGUGAAGAUUGGAAAGGAAAGUGAAAUUGACAGAUUUGUCCAUUCCUAUCAGUAGUCCACACAACCGACAGAUGCCAGAUCAAAACUACUGCAGAUUGUGCUGGGAUAUCCCAUGGGGAAAAGCUGCCUCCUGAUUGCAUCUUUCAGUUGUCAGAUAUGAAUGGCAGCCUAUGCAAGGGCAUUUUUGGUAGCUGCUCCCUGGCCCUGGAAUGAAGAUUACUCAUGUA